AGCGAACGCUGGCGGCAGGCCUAACACAUGCAAGUCGAACGAACUCUUCGGAGUUAGUGGCGGACGGGUGAGUAACACGUGGGAACGUGCCUUUAGGUUCGGAAUAACUCAGGGAAACUUGUGCUAAUACCGAAUGUGCCCUUCGGGGGAAAGAUUUAUCGCCUUUAGAGCGGCCCGCGUCUGAUUAGCUAGUUGGUGAGGUAAAGGCUCACCAAGGCGACGAUCAGUAGCUGGUCUGAGAGGAUGAUCAGCCACAUUGGGACUGAGACACGGCCCAAACUCCUACGGGAGGCAGCAGUGGGGAAUCUUGCGCAAUGGGCGAAAGCCUGACGCAGCCAUGCCGCGUGAAUGAUGAAGGUCUUAGGGAUGUAAAAAUCCUUU
rnacentral:rRNA from 1 species